rnacentral:rRNA from 1 species
AGAGUUUGAUCAUGGCUCAGGACGAACGCUGGCGGCGUGCUUAACACAUGCAAGUCGAGCGGAAAUAUAUUGAAGAUUUAUCGGAUAUAUAUUUUAGCGGCGGACGGGUGAGUAACGCGUGGGCAAUCUGCCUCACACAGGGGAAUAACACUGGGAAACUAGUGCUAAUACCGCAUGAAAUAGUGAAGUGGCAUCACUUUACUAUCAAAGGAGCAAUCCGGUGUGAGAUGAGCCCGCGUCCGAUUAGCUAGUUGGUGAGGUAACGCUCACCAAGGCGACGAUCGGUAGCCGAACUGAGAGGUUGAUCGGCCACAUUGGGACUGAGACACGGCCCAGACUCCUACGGGAGGCAGCAGUGGGGAAUAUUGCGCAAUGGGGGAAACCCUGACGCAGCAACGCCGCGUGAAGGAUGAAGGUUUUCGGAUUGUAAACUUCUUUGAUUGGGGACGAUAAUGACGGUACCCAAAAAACAAGCCACGGCUAACUACGUGCCAGCAGCCGCGGUAAUACGUAGGUGGCAAGCGUUGUCCGGAAUUACUGGGUGUAAAGGGCGUGUAGGCGGGGAUGCAAGUCAGAUGUGAAAUUCCGGGGCUCAACCCCGGCACUGCAUCUGAAACUGUGUCUCUUGAGUGCUGGAGAGGAAAGCGGAAUUCCUAGUGUAGCGGUGAAAUGCGUAGAUAUUAGGAGGAACACCAGUGGCGAAGGCGGCUUUCUGGACAGUAACUGACGCUGAGGCGCGAAAGCGUGGGUAGCGAACAGGAUUAGAUACCCCUGGUAGUCCACGCCGUAAACGAUGGGAUACUAGGUGUAGGAGGUAUCGACCCCUUUCUGUGCCGGGAGUUAACACAAUAAAGUAU